rnacentral:rRNA from 1 species
UACAGAGGGUGCAAGCGUUGUUCGGGAUUAUUGGGCGUAAAGCGCGUGUAGGCGGCUUGGCAAGUCGGGUGUGAAAGCCCUCAGCUCAACUGAGGAAGUGCGCCCGAAACUGUCGAGCUUGAGUGCCGGAGAGGGUGGCGGAAUUCCCCAAGUAGAGGUGAAAUGCGUAGAUACUGGGAGGAACACCGGUGGCGAAGGCGGCUACCUGGACCGGUUCUGACGCUGAUGCGCGAAAGCGUGGGUAGCAAACAGG